rnacentral:tRNA from 1 species
GAAUAGCUCAGCGGUGGAGCAGUCGACUGUUAAUCGAAAGGUCGUGGGUUCAAAUCCCACUUC